CCCCGUAGUACUGCGAGUGAAGCGGGAAAAGCUCAAAUUUAAAAUCUGGUGGUCUUUGGCCAUCCGAGUUGUAAUCUAGAGAAGUGUUAUCCGCGCUGGACCGUGUACAAGUCCCCUGGAAUGGGAGCGUCAUAGAGGGUGAGAAUCCCGUCUUUGACACGGACUACCAGGGCUUUGUGAUGCACUCUCAAAGAGUCGAGUUGUUUGGGAAUGCAGCUCAAAAUGGGUGGUAAAUUCCAUCUAAAGCUAAAUAUUGGCGAGAGACCGAUAGCGAACAAGUACCGUGAGGGAAAGAUGAAAAGAACUUUGGAAAGAGAGUUAAACAGUACGUGAAAUUGUUGAAAGGGAAACGCUUGAAGUCAGUCGCGUCUGCCAGGGAUCAACCUUACUUUUGUGAGGCGUACUUCCUGGUUGAUGGGUCAGCAUCAGUUUUGGUUGCUGGAUAAAGGUCAGAGAAAUGUGGCACCUUCGGGUGUGUUAUAGUCUUGAUCAGAUACAGUGGCUGGACUGAG
rnacentral:rRNA from 1 species